GACGAACGCUGGCGGCAGGCCUAACACAUGCAAGUCGAACGAGUGGCGGACGGGUGAGUAAUGUCUGGGAAACUGCCCGAUGGAGGGGGAUCACUACUGGACACGGUCGCUAAUCCCGCAUACCAUCGGAUGUGCCCAUAUGGGAUUCGCUAGUAGGUGGGGUAACGGCUCACCUAGGCGACGACCCCUCGCUGGUCUGAGAGGAUGCCCAGCCACACUGGAACUGAGACACGGGCCAGACUCCUACGGGAGGCAGCAGUGGGGAAUAUUGCACAAUGGGCGCAAGCCUGAUGCAGCCAUGCCGCGUGUAUGAAGAAGGCCUUCGGGGUGUAAAGUACUUUCAGCGAGGAGGCGUUACUCGCAGAAGAAGCACCGGCUAACUCCGUGCCAGCCGCCGCGGUAAUAC
rnacentral:rRNA from 1 species